rnacentral:rRNA from 1 species
AGCGAACGCUGGCGGCAGGCUUAACACAUGCAAGUCGAACGCCCCGCAAGGGGAGUGGCAGACGGGUGAGUAACACGUGGGAACGUACCCUUUGGUUCGGAAUAACUUGGGGAAACUCAAGCUAAUACCGGAUAAGCCCUUAUGGGGAAAGGUUUACUGCCGAAGGAUCGGCCCGCGUCUGAUUAGCUAGUUGGUGAGGUAAUGGCGCACCAAGGCGACGAUCAGUAGCUGGUCUGAGAGGAUGAUCAGCCACACUGGGACUGAGACACGGCCCAGACUGCUACGGGAGGCAGCAGGGGGGAAUAUUGGACAAUGGGGGCAACCCUGAUCCAGCCAUGCCGCGUGAGGGAUGAAGGCCUUAGGGUUGUAAAGCUCUUUUACCCGGGACGAUAAUGACUGUACCGGGAGAAUAAGCCACGGCUAACUUCGUGCCAGCAGCCGCCGCGG